AACCAUUUGGAUCAAUCGAAAUAAGUGAUAGAUCAAUCGAAAUUACGUCUUUUGAACUUCUGAGAAAUGUUUUGGCAGUUGGGUUCUUAACCCUAAUUUCAUUUUUUUAUUUUAUUUUAUUUACUUUACUUAUUUUCUUUUCUUUUUCUUUUUCUUUUCUCUUUCUUCCCCUCUUAUCUUUUUUUCUCUAUAUCUUCAUUUUCUCUCUCUUUCUCUUUCUCUCUCUCCCUGCGAAUUCUCUCUCCCCGAUCCCUCUCUCACCCUCUCAAGUUCUCUCAAUCUCUUAUCCUCAAUCUCCCACCCAACCUUCAUCCCAGCAAACCAGAAACUCAAUCCCACCUAACCUCACUAUCUUCCUCAUUGCCGGUGAGAACCCAAGGCAACCCAAACCGGCGCCGACAAGCUCCAUUUUUACAAGCAAGGCUUUUGGCCCAAGGGCCAAGCCAUUUUCUCUCUCUAGCUUGAAUUUUUCCCAGAUUCUCUCGUUUUAGUCAUCUCCGCCUAUUUCGGCCAAGGAGACCCAGAUCUCUAUCUCCGGCGACCUUUGCACGUUCUGGCGAAGCUCUAGCAAGCUUUCGGUAACCAUUUCCGACCAAGGUUAGGCCGGAAAGCUUAGAUUCUUCCCGAAUCUCACUCUCUUCACUCUAUCUUCCAAUCUUUGGCCCGGAUACAGCGCAGAGAGAAGACUCUUGUUAGAAAAAGAGUACGCAGAGCUCCACAGCCUCCUCCUUCUCCAAAGGUAGAGUCUUCUUCGUCUUCAUCUUCUACUGCUACAACAUUUGCAACAAUCCAUACAGAGCCAUCACUUAUGGAAGCUCAAGGUUCUAUUAUCCAAGAAGUACCUUCUAUCUCUUACUCUCGCAAGAAACUGAAGCCUGAGUACAGAUUUAACCGCAAUCUAUUUUUCGAGUUGGAGUAGACCAAAUGGUCUUAUAAUGAGCUCACUCAUAGGGGCAUUAAUGCCAUCAUGACACUGGCAGACACUGUAGUUUAUCCCUGGGUGGUUGCAUUGUUCUUCCAGCACCUUUGGUUGGAUGAGGAUGACAGACUCUUGAUGCAUAUGACUAUAGAAAGCCAAGAGAUCGACAUCUCUAUCCCGACCAUAGUUGUUGCAUACCGAUGCCCCCAUCUCUCUUCACUAAUUGUUGACUCUGAGGAUCCAUUAUAUCCCAACGCUCCACCUUUUCCCUCCGAGCUGACCACGGUAGUGACUUUAUCUCCAUAUGCUGCCUUUGAGGGCAACACAUUUUGCAGACCAGGUUAACAUUGAUCCCCGAUACUGGUUUAUCGAUUAUGUGCUACACCUCAAUGCCUUCCAUCAGGCCAUAGCACAGCGGAGAGAGGGGAUUUUUCAGGCUCUAUACUGUUUGAGCCAGGGUUAUUAGAUUUUUGUUCCUGCGCUCAUCUGGGAGCUCAUUCACAAGUUCUAGAAGAAUCUGAUAUGUACAUAUAAUUCUAGAGCUGAGGCUUGGCCUUCACCAUAUGGCCACCUGAUUACUCAGCUGCUGAUUGACCAAGGCUAUCAUUUUGACCCAGAUGAGAUUCCAGAGACUGAUGUACAGAGAGCUAGGAGGGCAUCUGACUAGGCCAAGUGGACAAAGACCUAUAAUUCUUGCCUCAAGAACAGAAAGAACAGAGAUAGGAAAAGGAAACGAGAUCAAGAGAGGGCAGAGGAUGAUGCAGCUACAGAGGAGGCAGCCGAUAGAUCACCUCUCAGACAGAGGCAUCGCAUUACUACUUCCGCUUCUACCUCACAGCCAGAUGUACCUAUUAUAUCGGAGCAAGCCGGCCCCUCUCAUGUCCUUCCUACAGAUCCAAUGCCACAGGCCGACACUCGAUCCGACAUGGUAGUACAGAUUCUAGCUACAAAUAUGAUAUCACUCAGCUGCACACAGACUUCAUUUCCUUCAGAGCUGAUAUGAUCCGGCGGCACGAGGAUAUCAUGAGGCGGUAUAAUGAUCUGGUAAAGAGACAUGAUGACUUAGUAGAGAGGCACGAUGAUCUAGUUUGGCGGUCUAAUAAUUUGAGGACAGAUAUUGCCGAGGUGAAGCGAGAGCUUAGGGCAUUGGGGAUUGACCUUACGAUAUCCCUCACUCGCCACAGCCGAGAUAUGUUUGACAUACUGCAGCACAUUGCUGACAUGAUGACUAUGGGUCCUACUCCCUAAUUCCACCAUUUUCUCUCUCUAUUACUCAUUAUCUGCUUUGAUACACUAUCAUUUCGAUACACUGCUAUUAUUGGGAUAUUUUUUACUGUCUUGAUAUUUGCGCUGGUUUUGGAUACUUUGGAUAUUAUUUUUACACUACACUUGCUAUACAUUGAUUUUUGGAUAUAUGGUUUUGGAUUUACUUGAUAUAUAUGGAUUUUUGGAUUUUGAUA